rnacentral:rRNA from 1 species
GAUGAACGCUGGCGGCGUGCUUAACACAUGCAAGUCGAGCGAAGCAUCUUGAAGUUUUCGGACGGAGAGGUGACUGAGCGGCGGACGGGUGAGUAACGCGUGGGUAACCUGCCUCACACAGGGGGAUGACAGUCAGAAAUGACUGCUAAUACCGCAUAAGCGCACAGUACCGCAUGGUACGGUGUGAAAAACUCCGGUGGUGUGAGAUGGACCCGCGUCUGAUUAGGUAGUUGGUGGGGUAACGGCCUACCAAGCCGACGAUCAGUAGCCGACCUGAGAGGUUGAACGGCCACAUUGGGACUGAGACACGGCCCAGACUCCUACGGGAGCAGCAGUGGGGAUAUUGCACAAUGGGGGAAACCCUGAUGCAGCGACGCCGCGUGGAGGAAG